rfam:Erinaceus europaeus unplaced genomic scaffold scaffold00858, whole genome shotgun sequence
GGAUGUGAGGGCGAUCUGGCUGCGACAUCUGUCACCCCAUUGAUCGCCAGGGUUGAUUCGGCUAAUCUGGCUGGCUAGGCGGGUGUCCCCUUCCUCCCUCACCGCUCCAUGUGCGUCCCUCCCAAAGCUGCGCGCUCGGUCGAAGAGGACGGCCUUCCCCACCGGUCUUCGGUCGAGGGGAUACGAGUAGCUGCGCUCCCCUUCUAGAACCUCCAAACAAGCUCUCAAGAAUGAAUUUACCACCUUAAUCAAAACUCAGAUUGUCUCAAGAUAGAAGUGAUCUGCCUUCAAGACACCUGUCCUUUGUCUUUAGCCUGGAAGGUGUCAACCACA